rnacentral:rRNA from 1 species
UGCAAGUCGAACGAUGAACCACUUCGGUGGGGAUUAGUGGCGAACGGGUGAGUAACACGUGGGCAAUCUGCCCUUCACUCUGGGACAAGCCCUGGAAACGGGGUCUAAUACCGGAUACAACCACCGGCCGCAUGGUCUGGUGGUGGAAAGCUCCGGCGGUGAAGGAUGAGCCCGCGGCCUAUCAGCUUGUUGGUGAGGUAACGGCUCACCAAGGCGACGACGGGUAGCCGGCCUGAGAGGGCGACCGGCCACACUGGGACUGAGACACGGCCCAGACUCCUACGGGAGGCAGCAGUGGGGAAUAUUGCACAAUGGGCGAAAGCCUGAUGCAGCGACGCCGCGUGAGGGAUGACGGCCUUCGGGUUGUAAACCUCUUUCAGCAGGGAAGAAGCGAAAGUGACGGUACCUGCAGAAGAAGCGCCGGCUAACUACGUGCCAGCAGCCGCGGUAAUACGUAGGGCGCGAGCGUUGUCCGGAAUUAUUGGGCGUAAAGAGCUCGUAGGCGGUCUGUCGCGUCGGAUGUGAAAGCCCGGGGCUUAACCCCGGGUCUGCAUUCGAUACGGGCAGACUAGAGUGUGGUAGGGGAGAUCGGAAUUCCUGGUGUAGCGGUGAAAUGCGCAGAUAUCAGGAGGAACACCGGUGGCGAAGGCGGAUCUCUGGGCCAUUACUGACGCUGAGGAGCGAAAGCGUGGGGAGCGAACAGGAUUAGAUACCCU